ACAUAUGGUUCUUCUUUCUCUACGGCCUCUUCGCUUUUAUUUUUCUUUAGUUCGUUUUCCUUCUUAUUUGUUUUACCAGGGUCUUGGUGCAUGGCUGGAUUCUGAAUUCUAGGGUCGGUUGGUCCGCCUAGUUCUGUCCCACUUCGUAGUAUAAUAGCAUUUACAUGACCUUUCGGGUUUGGUUUUGGUUGUCCAGGAAAUGUACCUGCAGGAUCAGCAGUAGGUGCUUAUUGUUGUGCCACUUGCGAAAU
rnacentral:lncRNA from 1 species